AGUGAACGCUGGCGGCAGGCCUAACACAUGCAAGUCGAACGACAGAACAGGAAUUUCUUUCUCUUACGGUUGGCGAGGGCCGGGGGGGUAACCGUUGGAUACCCAACUACUAAGUCGGGGUUACUUUCGUAAAGCAGAAGCCAUUACGGGCAAAUAUUUGUAACGGCUGGAUCAAGUGGGUAAUGAGGAUUUGCUUGUUAGUAUUAGCGGAUUCCGGGCCGAAUAAGUUACUGGGUAAGGUAACGGCUUACCAAGGCAACGAUGCGUAGCCGACCUGAGAGGGUGAUCGGCCACACUGGAACUGAGACACGGUCCAGACUCCUACGGGAGGCAGCAGUAGGGAAUCUUCCGCAAUGGGCGAAAGCCUGACGGAGCAACGCCGCGUGAGUGAUGAAGGUCUUCGGAUCGUAAAACUCUGUUAUUAGGGAAGAACAAAUGUGUAAGUAACUAUGCACGUCUUGACGGUACCUAAUGAGAAAGCCCCGGCUAACUACGUG
rnacentral:rRNA from 1 species